rnacentral:rRNA from 1 species
UAGCUACAGGCUUAACACAUGCAAGUCGAGGGGCAGCAUGGUCUUAGCUUGCUAAGGCUGAUGGCGACCGGCGCACGGGUGAGUAACACGUAUCCAACCUGCCGUCUACUCUUGGCCAGCCUUCUGAAAGGAAGAUUAAUCCAGGAUGGGAUCAUGAGUUCACAUGUCCGCAUGAUUAAAGGUAUUUUCCGGUAGACGAUGGGGAUGCGUUCCAUUAGAUAGUAGGCGGGGUAACGGCCCACCUAGUCAACGAUGGAUAGGGGUUCUGAGAGGAAGGUCCCCCACAUUGGAACUGAGACACGGUCCAAACUCNUACGGGAGGCAGCAGUGAGGAAUAUUGGUCAAUGGGCGAUGGCCUGAACCAGCCAAGUAGCGUGAAGGAUGACUGCCCUAUGGGUUGUAAACUUCUUUUAUAAAGGAAUAAAGUCGGGUAUGCAUACCCGUUUGCAUGUACUUUAUGAAUAAGGAUCGGCUAACUCCGUGCCAGCAGCCGCGGUAAUACGGAGGAUCCGAGCGUUAUCCGGAUUUAUUGGGUUUAAAGGGAGCGUAGAUGGAUGUUUAAGUCAGUUGUGAAAGUUUGCGGCUCAACCGUAAAAUUGCAGUUGAUACUGGAUGUCUUGAGUGCAGUUGAGGCAGGCGGAAUUCGUGGUGUAGCGGUGAAAUGCUUAGAUAUCACGAAGAACUCCGAUUGCGAAGGCAGCCUGCUAAGCUGCAACUGACAU